CAGCAGCCACGGUAAUACAGAGGUCCCGAGCGUUGUUCGGAAUUACUGGGCGUAAAGCGCGCGUAGGCGGCUUGGUAAGUUAGAGGUGAAAGCCCGGAGCUCAACUCCGGAAUUGCCUUUAAGACUGCCGAGCUAGCAGGUGAGAGAGGUAAGUGGAAUUCCGAGUGUAGAGGUGAAAUUCGUAGAUAUUCGGAAGAACACCAGUGGCGAAGGCGACUGACUGGACAAGUAUUGACGCUGAGGUGCGAAAGCGUGGGGAGCAAACAGGAUUAGAUACCCGCGUAGUCCCUGUCUCUUAUAC
rnacentral:rRNA from 1 species